UACGGGGGGGGCAAGCGUUGUUCGGAAUUACUGGGCGUAAAGGGCUCGUAGGCGGCCAACUAAGUCGGACGUGAAAUCCCUCGGCUUAACCGGGGAACUGCUUCCGAUACUGGAUGGCUUGAGUGUGGGAGAGGGAUGCGGAAUUCCAGGUGUAGCGGUGAAAUGCGUAGAUAUCUGGAGGAACACCGGUGGCGAAGGCGGCAUCCUGGACCAUUACUGACGCUGAGUGAGCGAAAGCGUGGGGAGCGAACAGG
rnacentral:rRNA from 1 species